GAGCUUCACAAGUUCCUUAGCCUCUUGGCCUCAAUUUCCUCAUCUGUAAAAUGGGUAUAUUAAGAAGAUUGCAAUAAAGAUGGCAAUAAAGAUUACUUGAGUAACUAUACCUUAAAAUAUUAAACAGAUCAAUCAGUAAAUCACUCCAUAAACGUAACAUGACCAGGCAGGGUGGGUAUUUGUGAGCCUGUGCAAUAUCGAAGCAACACAUCAGCCAAGAUCUCCGUAACGUGAUGGAAAACUCUAACCAGAGAGAAGCAGGCCUUGAAGACACAGCCUGCGUGCUGUGGACAGCUCUGGCCGUGCACAUGCAGCGGACAGCAGCCUGGGACCUAGGGGUGCCCCCCACCCCCUCGACAGCCACCAAGCUCAGGACCCUCACUGGAAUCCUGCCAGCAUCCUGCAUGAGCCUGGAAGCAGAUCCUUCCUCAUCCACGUGUCCAGAUGACAACGCAGCCUGGCCGACACCUUAACUGCAGCCUGUAAGGCCCUGGGCAGGGGGACCCUGGUUCCCUUUUACAUACAGGUUUUCCUCUCCAAAUGCACCCCUUUGCAGGCAAAUUUGCUUUGCAAAAGGGCGAAUCCGAUUUGCCAAAGGGUGAGUUUGAAGCGGAAAACCUGUAUGAGACAUGCCCAGACCCCUCACUCACAGAAGCUGGGAGAUAACGUGUACCGUGUGUGUUUGUUUUUUAAUGUCAUAAGCCAACCACAGAGAGUAUUUUGUAAGUAAAGAAGGAAAAACUAAAAA